rnacentral:lncRNA from 1 species
UAAAGGAUUGGUGAGAAGAUCAGCCAGUUGGUGAGAAGUGGAGACAUGAGAGAGAAAAAUCAUCCCAUCAGUCAGCUGAUCUAGAACAAAAUGACAAUAGACCUCAAUAUGCUUGGUCCGUUCAUGAAAUAUUGGAUUCUUGGCUAUAUGUAUAGCAGCCUGGUUGUCACAAAAAACAGAAAAGGGAAGAGAAACAGAAACACCAAGGUCAGUGAGCAGUCGAGGUAGCCAAGAUAAUUCAGCAACCACCUUACUAAGGGCCCUGUAUUCUGCUUCAGCAGAGGAUAAAGAGACUACGGUAGUGAGCAAUCGAGAGAGCCAAGAUAAUUCAGCAACCACCUUACUAAGUGCCCUGUACUCUGCUUCAGCAGAGGAUAAAGAGACUACUGGCUGUUUUUUGGACGUCCAACUAAUCAGGCUACCACCCAAAAGCACACAGAAACCAGUAACAGACCUGCGAGUAUAAGGACAGGCUGCCUAAUCACUGUCUGAAAAAGGCAUGGACUGAAAAAUCAGAAGUAUCAGAAUAGAAAAGUCCCAAAUUCAUAGUUCCUUUAAGAUAUCUGAGGACUUGCAGCGCAGCAGUCAUGUGAGGAAGUCUAGGAGACUUCAAAAAUUGACUCAGAUGUUGAACAACAAAGCAAAUGUCAGGUCUGGUGUGAGUGAAAAACAGGAGCUUACCAAUCAAGCUCCUGUACUGGUCAGGGGAAGAAAACAGGGCACCAGAAUCAGCAUGGAGCUUGGUAUUAAGAUCCAAAGGACAAACAAUAGUAGAAACAUUCACACAGUCAAAUUGAUGCAGCAGGUCAGAGACAAAUUUGUGCUGAUUAAGAAGCAUUCCACCAGCAACAAUAGACACCUCAAUGCCUAGAAAAUAAUUCAGAGACCCCAGGUCUUUAAUCCUGAACUGGUCAUGCAGGAAGUGUUCCAGGGCAGAAAUCUCAACAAUGUCAUCCCCAGUGAUAAUAAUAUCAUCCACAUAGACCGCCAAAACUACAAGACAUCCAGGCUGACCCUUGAUAAACAAAGAAUAAUCAUUCAAAGAAUGGGUGUAACCUCUGGAGUAUAGAGCAUGAGACAUUUUUUCAUACCACUAUCUGGAUGCAUGUCUCAAUCCAUAAAGGUAUCUCUUUAACGUACACAGAAAUGGAGGAGAGACAGAGGAAACAUAAUCAACAGAAGGGACAAACACAGUUAAACCUGGAGGAAGCUUCAUAUAUACCUCCUCAUUUAGGUCACCAUGCAAGAAAGCAUUAUUAACAUUAAGAAACAGAAUCAACAGAAGGGACAGAAACAGUUAAACCUGGAGGAAGUUUCAUAUAUACCUCCUCAUUUAGGUCACCAUGCAAUAAAGCAUUAUUAACAUCAAGUUGAAAAAGAUCCCAAUGAUUCUUAACAGCCACAACAAUUAAGCAUUUAACAGU